CCUACGGGAGGCAGCAGUGGGGAAUAUUGGACAAUGGGGGGAACCCUGAUCCAGCCAUGCCGCGUGUGUGAAGAAGGCCCUCGGGUUGUAAAGCACUUUCAGUGAGGAAGAACGCCUGGUGGUUAAUACCCAUCAGGAAAGACAUCACUCACAGAAGAAGCACCGGCUAACUCCGUGCCAGCAGCCGCGGUAAUACGGAGGGUGCGAGCGUUAAUCGGAAUUACUGGGCGUAAAGCGCGCGUAGGUGGCUUGAUAAGCCGGUUGUGAAAGCCCCGGGCUCAACCCGGGAACGGCAUCCGGAACUGUCAAGCUAGAGUGCAGGAGAGGAAGGUAGAAUUCCCGGUGUAGCGGUGAAAUGCGUAGAGAUCGGGAGGAAUACCAGUGGCGAAGGCGGCCUUCUGGACUGACACUGACACUGAGGUGCGAAAGCGUGGGUAGCAAACAGGAUUAGAUACCCGAGUAGUC
rnacentral:rRNA from 1 species